rnacentral:miRNA from 1 species
AACCUCAUUGGCCAGAAGGAUUCCUUCCGGUCAAUGAGGUAUAACAACCUCAUUGGCCGGAAGGUAUAACAUCCUCAUUGAUUGGAAGGAAUUCCUUCCUAUCGAUGAGUUUGUUACCCUCAUUGACCAGAAAGGAUUCCUUCUCGUCAAUGAGGUA